rnacentral:rRNA from 1 species
UUGAACGCUGGCGGCAGGCCUAACACAUGCAAGUCGAGCGGAUGAAGGGAGCUUGCUCCUGGAUUCAGCGGCGGACGGGUGAGUAAUGCCUAGGAAUCUGCCUGGUAGUGGGGGAUAACGUCCGGAAACGGGCGCUAGUACCGCAUACGUCCUGAGGGAGAAAGUGGGGGAUCUUCGGACCUCGCGCUAUCAGAUGAGCCUAGGUCGGAUUAGCUAGUUGGUGGGGUAAAGGCCUACCAAGGCGACGAUCCGUAACUG